AUAUAACAUGUACGUUAUAAAUUGGAGUAUUUCAAUACACAAAUCAAUAGAAGAUUAUUACUGUAUAUAAGUAUAAUUUCAAUACAAUUCGAUCGAUAUAUUUCAGUAUCUUUGAUUAAAAAUUUAACGAUCCUUUCAGGCUGACCGCGGCGGAUCACUGCUGAUACAACAUGAAUUAACCUCGUAUUUAAUAGGUAUUGUGUCUUAUGCUUAUAAGUGCGGCACAGCUGGGUAUCCCAGCGUUUACACUAGGGUCACAUCGUACCUUGACUUCAUUCUCCAAGCGAUGCAAUAAUAUGAUAUUACUGUUCCAUAAAUAUCAUUGUGUAAAAAACGUAAAGUUGGAUUUUCUUAUUGUGGAGAUAAGAAACAGCUCAAAUUUACAUUGUUUUGUACGUUACAAAUUAUAGGCUUAAAAUGUACGAAAUGUAACUUUGAAACGACACUAAUUUUUUACGCACGAUAAACCUCCACGACUUAGAUUAUAGAUUCCUAUACGACUCUCAGUAAAAAUUUAUCCGCACUCCAGAUAGUUAAAACUUCUGUCGACCGUAUUGAUCCAUCUGCACUCUUCGUAUGACGUCAAUAUCUGUUCAGUGCUGCUGCGCAGGUUUCUUUGUGUUACGUCAAUUCGUUUGUGACCGUUGCGCGAGUAAUGGCGCUUUGCAAUGGUGAUUUGCAGGAAAACAGUGCAGGAUGCUGUGAUUCGUUUCUUGUGGUCGGAGGUUAUGUUUGAUGCCUAUAUUUAUCAAAGAUUUAAUGCACAUUAUGGAGAAAGUGUUUUGUCACGAAGUGUGUUUGAAUGGGCACAAAAGUUCAAAGAAGAUCGCACGAGUGUUAUGAAAAAACAGCUGGACGCCCGUCCACAUCCACGAUGACAACAUUGAACGUGCUCAUGAACUUAUGCUCUAUGGAAUAGACGAGUGACACUGGAUAAUGUGGCAAAUCAUUUGCAAAUCAGCCACGGCUCUGCUUAUGCAAUAGUGCACGACAGAUUUGGAUUUUAAAAAGUUUGUGCGAGAUGGAUGCCGAAAAAGCUGAUGAAAAGGUGAAGACGACGAUGCAUUCGUGGUUCGCAGCUCAGCCCAAAACAUUUUUUAAUGAGAAAAUAUAAAGGUCCUUCGGCAAAUGGACAAAGUGUAUACAGAAAUCGAGUGAUUAUGUCAAAAAAUGAUGUAUGUCUUUUUUGACAAUUGCUUAAAAUAAAUUCUACACCGACAGAGCGGGCUGUUAAUCUAGAGGCUGGAGUACAAAGAAGUGGCACAAUGAUGUGGGCUGAUGACAUUUAUAAUUAUCAAGGAAUCACCCCUACAUUCGCUCAGAAUUUUAAUGAAACUGUCCCUUGGGAAGGAAGAACUGAUACCUUGAUAUCACGGUUUGUACAUCCUAUAUAUACGACAAAUUUUAGAACAUUAUAUAACGAAGAACCAGAUCGUCGUGGCCAUGUGAUGUGAAUAAAAGGACUUGAAUUUGAUGAUAUUUUUAUAAUGUUAGAUAACAUAACUAAGUAUCUUCACAGUAAGAUAGGAUGACAUGGUUUACAUGAUCUUAAUGUUGUUCACUCGAGUGAUGAUAUUAUAAG